rnacentral:misc_RNA from 1 species
UACGUAGGGCGCAAGCGUUGUCCGGAAUUAUUGGGCGUAAAGGGGGUGCAGGCGGUGGCCCGCGUGUGCGGUGAAAUCUCCCGGCUCAACCGGGGAGGGCCAUUGGAAACUGGGAGGCUUGAGUAUAGGAGAGAAGAGUGGAAUUCCACGUGUAGCGGUGAAAUGCGUAGAGAUGUGGAGGAACACCAGUGGCGAAGGCGACUCUUUGGCCUAUAACUGACGCUGAGGCGCGAAAGCGUGGGGAGCAAACAGG